UGGUAUGUUUGCUUGUUUAUUUGUUUA
rnacentral:piRNA from 1 species